GGAACCCCUAACUAAAUACUCCACGCAUCUAUGUAGAGGAGACAAGUCGUAACAUGGUAAGUGUACUGGAAAGUGCACUUGGACAAAC
rnacentral:rRNA from 1 species